GGAGGUUGAAUAGGGUUAGAAAGACGGCAUGACUAUAUCUCUAAUGUAGACCUAAAGUGCUUCCUAGAGCUAGGGACCAGGAUUCUAAAUGAGACCUGAGGGAAUGGAGCUGUUGUUGACAAGAGCUGUUAGACAAACAGGACAUGGAGGAGGAGAGGUCAAAAGUCCGUCUGACUCACCUGUGCUGAGUGACUUGAAUGCCAUCUAAUCUAACUUCAAGGUCACAGUGUUUGGACACCGCAUGAACAUGCCAAUUUCCUGUGUUGUAAUAUUUUUAUGCACUUUAAGAAGACCACCAGAAACAGCAGACCACAGGAUGUCUAGGAGCCAGCAGAGGGGCCAGAUAUGCUGCAGUUUAUGCUGUAAAAGGAAGCCUGCCGCCGUGAGUGGUCCAGUGGGAGCUCUUGCUUUGUGUCCUCAGCCUUUCACCUUUCCAUCUGAUGACUUGCUCUGAAUCUUCACUUCCUGGGCAGAGCUCUGAGUAUAGAUGAGGCAAACUUCACAUGGAAAAGAAGCCAUAUUUUGAAAAAACUACACGGAAUCAAAGAGAACUAACUCAAAGAAGCAAAAUUUUGGAGAUAAAACAAGCACCAUUCAGAAUCUGGACAUAUAAUAUGUUUAUGGCAUUUAACCUAGUCAGACAGUAGAUAUUGCUCUAAGUCAUGGCCUACACCUGUGAGCCUACUUAUAUCAGCAUUUGCCAAAUGUACUUGUAGCUGUGGUACUGACCUCAGAGAACUUAGCCAAAGAGCAAAGACUGCCUAAUUCAAGAAGUACUGAGAAGAUGUUCCAGGAUUACUUCAUGCUGUCCAGGUCCUAGACAUGGAAUCGUUUGCUUCUUCAAAAGUCUGGAUCCCUUUAAGAUACGAAAUGUAUUUAGAAACCAAAGUAUGGAUGCUAGGUGUGCUCAUGGCCAUUGGAGUGUGUUUCUAGACCCAGGAAUAAGCAAACAAUGGCCUGUAAACUAUAUCCUGUCUGUGGCCUGUUUUUGUACAUCCUAAGAACUAAAAAUUAUUUUAAAAAUUGUAAAUGGGAAAAAGUCAACAACAACAAACAAAUCAACAAAUAACCCCACAAAUAAACAGUUUCUUAAAGACCAGAAUGACCAAGAAA
rnacentral:lncRNA from 1 species